rnacentral:rRNA from 1 species
AAUAGAUACCCCGGUAGUCCCUGCCGUAAACGAUGCACACUUGGUGUAGUCGGUCUCAACCCCGACUGUGCCGUAGCUAACGCGAUAAGUGUGCCGCCUGGGGAGUACGCUCGCAAGAGUGAAACUCAAAAGAAUUGACGGGGACCCGCACAAGCAGUGGAGCAUGUGGUUUAAUUCGAUGCAACGCGAAGAACCUUACCCAGGCUUGACAUACAGUAGACCGCACCAGAAACGGUGCUUUCCUUCGGGACUGCUGUACAGGUGCUGCAUGGCUGUCGUCAGCUCGUGCCGUGAGGUGUUUGGUUAAGUCCAGCAACGAGCGCAACCCUUAUCAUUAGUUGCCAGCACGUAAUGGUGGGAACUCUAGUGAGACUGCCCGGGUUAACCGGGAGGAAGGUGAGGAUGACGUCAAGUCCGCAUGGCCCUUAUGUCUGGGGCUACACACGUGCUACAAUGGCCGGUACAAUAGGUCGCAAGACAGUGAUGUUAAGCAAAUCCAUAAAAGCCGGUCCCAGUUCGGAUUGU